UGUCUGCUCCAUUGGCCCGUCUUCUCCUCCGCCUCCAUUGUUUCUCCUCGGCUGCUCUCCAUGCCCUAGGCGGCACUCCCAUUCAUGGCCGGUGACCCGUCUUCUCCUCUGCCUCCAUUGUUCCUCCUCCGCUGCUCUCCAUGCCCUAGGCGGCGCUCCCAUUCAUGGCCGACGAGCAGAAGCUUCAGCCUCCGUCGCGCCCCGAGGUACUCCGUCGCCGCGCGCCCAGCCGGCUCCCUUUUCCUCUUUGUUCUCCGCUGCAGGUCACCGGCCAUCCGUGCUGCAACCCAAUCUCUUCUCAAUCCCGCCCCUGUCAAAUCUUUAAAUCUCCUCUUAUUUCAACUUCUCAUAUCCAGGACCGUAGUGAUGAUCUCAGAUGGUUGAUGCAUCAUAUGAGGAGGUGUAGUACGCAUGAUGUUUUCAAGAAAGGAGGCCCCGGUUGGUACUUGAGGCCGUCAAGUUGAGGAAUUACGUUGGACUGGUGGCACCGCAACUUACAAUCGAAGCCCUACUCGAGUCCGUCUCCCGUUAUUCCUGCCCCACUCCACUGUCUGUAUCUUUUGCUUCAUAAUUCAUCUGUACACAAGAUUGAUGCCCAGAAGUUUCAGCCUUCCGUGCUAAAUGCCAUUCUUUUUUGACUUGAUAAACACCAGGUAACAUGGAGUCUUCUCAUUUGUAAUGGCAUAGAUAUAGGAACGAGCAAUUCAACUUUUCUUUAAGAAAGCGACACACAAAAGAGAACUAGAUAUUGUUGUUGAGAGCUAGCUCUGGCCACAUGAUCAUCUAUGUAUAUAGUUUUCAACAAAAGAGAACUGGAUUAUUGUUACUGAGGGCUAGCUCUGGCCGCAUGGUCAUCCAUGUAUAUAGUUUUCAACAAUAAAUGUGUCCUGAUUGGUACAGCAUAAUUUGCAAUCUUAGUUUCUUCUGAUCUCAUAAUUUGAAGAUGAACUGGAGAGGGGAAUGUGUACUAUGUUUGGAAUCCGUCACACUAAAUGUGUAUUUGUGGUAUUGAUGUACAGUUAUUAAGAAAGUUACAUUUUCCAGCUAUUGUUCUACUGAGAGGAUGCAUGGCUGAAAAUUGCUCUAGCUGGAAGUUUAUGUCUUUGUGAAUGAAGACUAGAGGCGCUGACUUGUAGCCACUCGAACACUGCCAUUGGGGAAAAUCUAUAUUGCUUAUUGAUCCAGUCUAGCUAUUGCUAGAAUACCAAUUUUCGUACACUGCAUAAUACCCAUUACUAAUUGAAUGUUGAUUCUGACAACCUUAAUACAUCCACGAUGGUGGAGGCACUUCAAAAAAGGUAAGCUGGAGAAAUAUAACAGAAUCACACGACGAUCCCCUUAGCUAAUAUCAUAUGGGUUCGAUCGAGGUUGUCCGUCAACAGUGCAUUGGUAAAAGUAAGCUGAAGGACUCGGACAGAUUAAUGAACUGCGCAUGUUGAGUUUGAAAAAAAAGUGUACAUAUAUGUUUUCUAUUACAGAUCAUCUGACUAUGUUUUGUAUUAAGAUUAAAUCAAAAUGCUACAGCAAGAUACAUUUAGUUACUAUAGUUUUAUUUUAUUUUACUAGCACUCUCUUCUCCGUAAAAAAUAAUAAUUGUGGAACGCAUUGAUAAGCUAUCAAAAAGAGAUGAUACAUUUCCUUAUCAUUUUGCUCGAUUGCUCGAUGUUCAUUAUAUAACAAAAAGUUCCAAAAAAUAUGUUUCUAAAAUGCAGAAUGAAGUAUUGGUUAGUAAUUAAUUUCAGAACACAAAUAAGCAUGGAAAUUAAGAAGCGCCCGGUUUUCUUGCCCUCACCUACUAAUAUAAUAUUUGUUCCCGUAUGCAUAUGUAUCUCACUUUUCCAAUUAUAUGACAUGGUCGUCUGAAUUUUAAUGCACCCUUGAAGUUGUGCUUCGUAACUAAAUGUUUAAAUUUCAGUACAACUAGGGUUUUCUUGGUGUGGUUGCAUUCAUGCAAACAAAAAAAUUCAUUGUGUGCAGGUAAUAUCCUUCAAAUAUCACUUACAAUAUAUGUUUUCAGUCUGUUUUGCUUCAAGUGAAGUACCUGUUUUCUCUCACUCUUUCAUGGUACAACAAUUAGCAACAUCAACUACACAAUAAAUAGAGCAGGUAAAAAACAACAAAUAGAGGAUGAAAUCAUGCAAAUAAAUAAGUAUCAUUAUAUCCAUACAUGGAUAAAUGUCUUUUCAUUAACUGUGCUUGGCCUCUAAAUUGACAUGUGUGUGUGUGUGUGAGGCUUGGUAUUAAUUGAAACAAGUAGCAAUCUAGUGCCAAUUGUGUACAUGUGUGUUUGUUUUGAAACGUUACUUGCAUUUUCUUAAAACAUCAUUCUGAUGAUUGUCAAUACUGUUGGACUAGCAUGCGAAGUUGUCAAAUGAAUUCCUACAAAAUGGUGUGUGGUUGGCUUUUUGAGAACAUUAGUAAAUGAAUUGGGCCUUCCACGUGUAGGUUAAAUAUCACCUGGUAAGUAUGAAAAUCGGUGAAUGAUUCAUCCAUUAGUAUAAUACACUUGGUUAUUGAUUCAAAUACAAAUUUCCCGACCGUAGUUCUUUCAUAAGAAACUUUCUAUCAAUUUCGGCUUGAAAGAUAUUUUAUUCAAGAACGACAGUUUCAUGAUGCUUGCCCGUGCAACUGCAUGGGUUGACGACUAGUGAGAUUAAUGAACGAAGUUUUACGUGCUUUCAUUGGACGAUUUAUGGUAGUUUACUUUGAUGACAUAUUGAUUUAUAGCAAAU